rnacentral:rRNA from 1 species
AGAGUUUGAUCAUGGCUCAGAACGAACGUUGGCGGCGUGCUUAACACAUGCAAGUCGAACGAGAAAGUUUUCUUCGGAGAACGAGUAAAGUGGCGCACGGGUGAGUAACGCGUAAGUAAUCUACCCUUGCAUCUGGAAUAACUACGGGAAGCUGUAGCCAAUACCGGAUACGUUCAUAGAGUUACGACUCUAUGAAGAAAGAUGACCUCUUCUUGAAAGUUAUCGUGCAGGGAGGAGCUUGCGUACCAUUAGCUAGUUGGUAGGGUAAAGGCCUACCAAGGCAACGAUGGUUAGCGGGUCUGAGAGGAUGAUCCGCCACACUGGAACUGGAACACGGACCAGACUCCUACGGGAGGCAGCAGUGAGGAAUAUUGCGCAAUGGGGGCAACCCUGACGCAGCGACGCCGCGUGGAUGAUGAAGGCCUUCGGGUCGUAAAAUCCUGUCAGAUGGGAAGAAAUGUAUGUAGGAAUAAUACCCUAUGUGCUUGACGGUACCAUCAAAGGAAGCACCGGCUAACUCCGUGCCAGCAGCCGCGGUAAUACGGAGGGUGCAAACGUUGUUCGGAAUUACUGGGCGUAAAGCGCGCGUAGGCGGUUUGUUAAGUCAGAUGUGAAAGUCCACAGCUCAA